UCUGUUUUGUACCUACAGAGCCUGUUAAAAUCCACAUAGCAAAGGAAGAUUUGUUUGAUCAUGCCUUCUUUGGGAGAUAGCAAAUCGUGUGGGAAGGAACAUUGACAAAAUUCCUUUGCUGGUGUCCUCUUCCCCUUAUAAGGACCAUCUGUAUGCUGUUCAUAAAAUUAACUGAGUAAGUA
rnacentral:lncRNA from 1 species